ACAAACAAACUUACCUGGUAGGGAACCGUCACCUGCCAGUUAUAAAGUGUACACUACUACAGUACCACGAGUCCUGUGUAGGGGAAACAACAGAUGCAGAGGAAGGCGAGGUCGGGGAAGUAGACUGAGUGGACCGACCAACAAAGAUGCAUUAGAGAAACUGUCAAAAGUUCACCCACUUCCUUCACUCAUCCUGCAGUGGCCCAAGAUAAACUCAUCUCUUAUCAAGAAGUGAAGAACAAGGGACAGACUGAUGACAGAGGCUACAUCACCACCACCACCAGAUGACAGA